CGAUAGCGAUGAGAGGCACGGCUAGACCAGAGAUUCGCCAUUUAUUAUCUGAUGGUGUCUGUUUCAAUACAGUGAUUGGAGAAUACAGAAGCUGGAAGUAAAUCAUACGAC